UUACUUCUUCAUGAGCAUGUACACUAAAAUUGGAACAACCAGAACAGAUUAGCAUGGCCCCUGAGCAAGAAUGACAUCCAAAUUCAUGAAUCAUUCCACUUUUAA